rnacentral:rRNA from 1 species
AGUAACACGUAGGUAAUCUUCCCUUGAGCGGGGGAUAACCUUCCGAAAGGAGGGCUAAUACCGCAUAUGACCACGAGCAGUACGCUGUUCGCGGUGAAAGCUGGCCUCUACUUGUAAGCUAGCACUCGAGGAUGAGUCCGCGGCCCAUCAGCUAGUUGGUAGUGUAAGAGACUACCAAGGCAAAGACGGGUAGCUGGUCUGAGAGGAUGAUCAGCCACACUGGAACUGAGACACGGUCCAGACUCCUACGGGAGGCAGCAGUGGGGAAUAUUGGACAAUGGGCGAAAGCCUGAUCCAGCAAUGCCGCGUGAGUGAUGAAGGCCUUAGGGUUGUAAAGCUCUUUUACCCGGGAUGAUAAUGACAGUACCGGGAGAAUAAGCUCCGGCUAACUCCGUG